CAGACAUGCUGGGGGGUUAUAAAACAUAUUGGCACAAAAAUCUGAAAAACAAUCUAGACAAAGACAAAAACAGUCCACAUGUGAUUUCUUCUAUUUUGGAAUGUGUAGAUCACUCACUUAACUUUCCCUGAGCUUCAUGAGCUCUGCCUUCCAGUUUAAGCCCUGGAAAUACAUAACGAAGCACAAAAGCCAGCUUUGCUUUAUGAGCUCCAUGGAAAAGACACACAAUAAAAUGGUCAUAUUUUAAUGUGAAAAAUGUUAAUGACAAGUAAAGCCAAGUGUGUCAAGGGGACAUAGUAAAGGGGCCUAAUGUGGCUUGGAGAGUCAGGGAGGGCUCGUGCUUUGUACAACGGCUUUGUAUCUAAACUCUCAUACAAAGGGUGAGAAGUUGGCCAGGCAAAGAUGGGGAAUUUGUGGAAGGGGUCAUGAAAGAUUUGAGGGCUGGAAGAAAUUUCACUCUGGCUAGGGCAUAGAGCGCGAACUAGGUUCUCAGACCCGAAGCCAGAGGAAUGAGUAGAAACUACAUCACGGGACCUUGGAAACCAACGUUAAGAAGCUGCCAAAGCACCUUGAGGAGAAAGACUUGAUUAGUAUUAUAUUGAAACAUGAAUUAUUUGGGAAAUGUCAAGGUGUCUGAAAAGUGGAAUGAGUUAAAAUUGAGGAAGGAAGCAUUCUAGGCGCGUCUCUUUGGCUCCAGUAAAGACAAUACAAACCAUGGCCAGAACAGCUAAAAUGAAAACUCUCCCAUUUCUCAGAGUGAGAGAAAACAUCAUGGGACCACAGGGGCUGAAAAACCCAUUCUUUUACUCACGUGUUGGAGGCGCCCAUUGCUACUGCCACAAUGCCUGCAAGGCCUCCCACUACACCAGGAUUCCCUGUACAAUAGUGCCCCACUGGAGGCCCAAAGCAGCAACGAGUAGGUUGAUACCCACACUGCUGAAGCCAUAUUUCUUCAGGAAGGUCAUGAGGAAGCCAAACCCAACAAAUAUCAUAACAUGUACAUCUUGGAACACUGGAAAAGAGGAAAG
rnacentral:lncRNA from 10 species